GCAGAACGCGAAGAACCUUACCUGGGUUUGACAUGGCCGCAAAACCGGCAGAGAUGUCGGGUCCUUCGGGGGCGGUCACAGGUGGUGCAUGGCUGUCGUCAGCUCGUGUCGUGAGAUGUUGGGUUAAGUCCCGCAACGAGCGCAACCCUCGUUCGAUGUUGCCAGCGGUUCGGCCGGGGACUCAUCGAAGACUGCCGGGGUCAACUCGGAGGAAGGUGGGGAUGACGUCAAGUCAUCAUGCCCCUUAUGUCCAGGGCUUCACGCAUGCUACAAUGGCCGGUACAAUGGGCUGCGAUACCGUGAGGUGGAGCGAAUCCCAAAAAGCCGGUCUCAGUUCGGAUCGGGGUCUGCAACUCGACCCCGUGAAGUCGGAGUCGCUAGUAAUCGCAGAUCAGCAACGCUGCGGUGAAUACGUUCCCGGGUCUUGU
rnacentral:rRNA from 1 species